rnacentral:lncRNA from 1 species
UGAGAUGCAGAAAGAACAAUCUCUAGUUCUGAAUUUUCUGGAAGAUGAACCAAAAAAUCCUAAAACAUUAGAUGAUGGAAGACCUUAGAAUUUCUGAAUUGUGUAUGUUUGUAGAGAGAGAAGGGUAUAAGUGAGAUUCUAAUGGGAGAAGCGGGGUUGGGUUGGGAGUUUAAAAGUAAAUAAAAUCAUGAUUAUUCUUGGACCAUGCUGAUUAAGCCAUCCUUUUGUCUGAUCGUUCUUGAAAUUUUCCAGUAGUUCAAUUAUAAUUUUGAGGACCAUAUUAUCCCAUAGCCUACCUCGUUUUUUCAUUUUUCAAAAGGUGAGACGAGUCUUGAAAUCAUCAAUAUAGCCUCCACCACUUGUUUCUUCCAUCGCCGCUAAGGGCUCUCCAUCAACUUAUCUUUAUUUUUGCUCUGCUCUUCUAGCACCUUGUGACAUUUUAUGAAUAAAUUUUCAGCAAAUGAAAACUCCAAAACUGUCUCAAGUCAAGUCAACAAAACAGCUUCAACUUCUUCCUUCCAACAAUAAACGAGACCCAACGAAAACUAGAAGAGGGAAGGAAGUAGGAAGGAGACAAUUUCAGAGUGAGCUUGUUGUGGCUGUUGCACUCAAGUUGUCAAGGAGCAUAAGAAACUAAAGGUUAUCUUUUAGAGGAAAAAAUAGAGGAGAAAAUGGGCUCAGUUAGGAAAAAAGAGAAAAAGUUAUAAGAUGAAAAUACCUUACAUUUAAUGGAGAAUUUUGAUGAAAACGAGGAAAAUGACAUUUUGCACAAUCAAAUGUGUAAUUAAGAAUGAAAAUAUCAAAACAUGAAAG